UGCCGGGGGGCGGGGGCAAGCCGGCGCUGUCGCCGCGCGGACCCCUCGCAGACUCCGCGCCCAUCUUCCACCCCGACCUGAUGCAGGAGCGGGUGCCGCCACUGUUGCCCCGCAACAGCACCACCAGCAACACGCACACGUCGCACUCGCCGAAGGGCAAACCCGAAGCGCACACACCGGCGCCGGAGCCCGAGCGGCGCGCGCCGCCCUCCCCGCUGCCCGCGCCCGCGCCCGCC